rnacentral:rRNA from 1 species
GAUGAUCGCUGGCGGCGUGCCUAAUACAUGCAAGUCGAGCGAAUGGAUUAAGAGCUUGCUCUUAUGAAGUUAGCGGCGGACGGGUGAGUAACACGUGGGUAACCUGCCCAUAAGGCUGGGAUAACUCCGGGAAACCGGGGCUAAUACCGGAUAACAUUUUGAACCGCAUGGUUCGAAAUUGAAAGGCGGCUUCGGCUGUCACUUAUGGAUGGACCCGCGUCGCAUUAGCUAGUUGGUGAGGUAACGGCUCAACAAGGCAACGAUGCGUAGCCGACCUGAGAGGGUGAUCGGCCACACUGGGACUGAGACACGGCCCAGACUCCUACGGGAGGCAGCCGUAGGGAAUCUUCCGCAAUGGACGAAAGUCUGACGGAGCAACGCCGCGUGAGUGAUGAAGGCUUUCGGGUCGUAAAACUCUGUUGUUAGGGAAGAACAAGUGCUAGUUGAAUAAGCUGGCGCCUUGACGGUACCUAACCAGAAAGCCACGGCUAACUACGUGCCAGCCGCCGCAGUAA